GUGUCAGCCGCCGCGGUAAUACGUAUGGAGCGAGCGUUGUCCGGAAUUAUUGGGCGUAAAGGGUACGCAGGCGGUUUAAUAAGUCGAAUGUUAAAGAUCGGGGCUCAACCCCGUAAAGCAUUGGAAACUGAUAAACUUGAGUAGUGGAGAGGAAAGUGGAAUUCCUAGUGUAGUGGUGAAAUACGUAGAUAUUAGGAGGAAUACCAGUAGCGAAGGCGACUUUCUGGACACAAACUGACGCUGAGGUACGAAAGCGUGGGGAGCAAACAGGAUUAGAAACCCCCGUAGUCC
rnacentral:rRNA from 1 species